UCCUCUUUGCUGCUUUUCUCCGACCCGUCCUUCUCGUCGCUGUCUGAGGAAGAUGAGGAGGAAGAGGAGGACGAGGAUGAGGAUGAGCUGCCCCGUCGGUCCUCUGCUGAAAGGACGGGUGGUGGCUCAGAAGGAGGGAUCCAUCGCGAGCGGAGAAGGUGAGAGGAGUGGACCAGGCUGCACAGCAGAGCGACUGAAAUGUCAAGAGCGCCUUCCUUAUCAGAGAGCAACGCAGGACUUUGUACAGGGAUGGGUGAUCCCAAGGAAACACUGAUCUUUCAGCACAUUUUAUGGCUGUGGAUGAGUAAAAGGCCACAUUUUCAUAAAGUGUCUUAUCAUCAAAAACCCUGAACCAAAGAAGAUCACUCUAGCUUCAGUCAAAGCUGAGAUUAGCACGAAAAUAAACUUUACAUUAAAGUUGA